GACGAACGCUGGCGGCGUGCCUAAUACAUGCAAGUAGAACGCUGAAGGAGGAGCUUGCUUCUCUGGAUGAGUUGCGAACGGGUGAGUAACGCGUAGGUAACCUGCCUGGUAGCGGGGGAUAACUAUUGGAAACGAUAGCUAAUACCGCAUAAUAGUAGAUGUCGCAUGACAUUUGCUUAAAAGGUGCAAUUGCAUCACUACCAGAUGGACCUGCGUUGUAUUAGCUAGUUGGUGAGGUAACGGCUCACCAAGGCAACGAUACAUAGCCGACCUGAGAGGGUGAUCGGCCACACUGGGACUGAGACACGGCCCAGACUCCUACGGGAGGCAGCAGUAGGGAAUCUUCGGCAAUGGACGGAAGUCUGACCGAGCAACGCCGCGUGAGUGAAGAAGGGUUUCGGAUCGUAAAGCUCGGUUGUAAGAGAAGAACGAGUGUGAGAGUGGAAAGUUCACACUGUGACGGUAUCUUACCAGAAAGGGACGGCUAACUACGUG
rnacentral:rRNA from 1 species